AUUGAACGCUGGCGGCAGGCCUAACACAUGCAAGUCGAACGAGUGGCGGACGGGUGAGUAAUGUCUGGGAAACUGCCCGAUGGAGGGGGAUAACUACUGGAAACGGUAGCUAAUACCGCAUACCAUCGGAUGUGCCCAGAUGGGAUUAGCUAGUAGGUGGGGUAACGGCUAACCUAGGCGACUAUCCCUAGCUGGUCUGCGAGGAUGACCGGCCACAUGGGAACUGAGACAGGGGCCAGACCCCUCGGGGGGGCAGCAGGGGGGAAUAUUGCACAAUGGGCGAAAGCCUGAUGCAGCCAUGCCGGGGGUAUGAAGAAGGCCUUCGGGUUGUAAAGUACUUUCAGCGAGGAGGCGUUACUCGCAGAAGAAGCACCGGCUAAUUCCGUGCCAGCAGCCGCGGUAAUC
rnacentral:rRNA from 1 species